rnacentral:rRNA from 1 species
GACGAACGCUGGCGGCGUGCUUAACACAUGCAAGUCGAGCGGAGCGGCGAACGGGUGAGUAACGCGUGAGUAACUGCCCCCCUCUCUGGGAUAACAGUUGGAAACGGCUGCUAAUACCGGAUAGUGGGGGAUGACUCGCGUCCUAUCAGCUUGUUGGUGGGGUAGUGGCCUACCAAGGCGACGACGGGUAGCCGGCCUGAGAGGGCGACCGGCCACAUUGGGCGGAGAUACGGCCCAAACUCCUACGGGAGGCAGCAGUGGGGAAUAUUGCACAAUGGGGGAAACCCUGAUGCAGCAACGCGCGUGCGGGAUGACGGCCUUCGGGUUGUGAACCUCGUUCGCUCGUGUGCGUGUAGCGGGUAAAGAAGCGCCGGCUAACUACGUGCCAGCAGCCGCGGUAAUAC